CCCAGUACUGCUGGCAGUCACAGAGCCCUCCCCGCAGAAUGAAGGAGAUUCCAGCUGCAGGCACCAGGAGGCUGGUUCCUUGCACAACGCACUAAAACAGGUGAAUGGCAGCAGUGCAGGGCUUGAAAAAAGACACUAAGGAUGAGGUCAAACAGUGGAAAAACUCGAAUUUGCUCUUUGUUCUAGGCUGAGUGUUGCUGCAAUGAGUCUGCGUGUGUUAGAAGAGCUUUCCUCGUGCUGUGGGAGGUACUCUCAGCUGUUUCCUACCCUCCAGUGCAUGCUCAGAGAUCAGGUUGUGUCCCCUUGCACGUGCACGUGCUUCUCCCAGAACCAGAGCAAAACAAAAGCCCCUCAGCAGCGGAUCUCCGGCUGCUCAGCUCUCUGUCUGCCGAGCUGAGCACUGAACGGAGACGUUUCAAGAAGCUGGAAGAGCACGUAUUCCAACAAAAAGGACACAGUCUUAAAUGUAGACAUAUAUAGCAGACUCCUAACCCACCCUUGCAUUGCAGCCCCCUGAGCAGAGCAGCACGGUGCUGGCAGACCCCAGGCGUGCCCUGCAUGUGCCACGUCACACCGUAGCACGGUGCCCAGCCCGGCUCGAGGCCCUGCUGCUUCAGAGGGUGAUUGAGGAAAAAAACUGCCAUCUCCAGUACCAAGCUACUGUCAGGACCAUUCGAGAUCAUUCUGGGGACAAAUCCCAAAUCUGACCCUGACUGAGAAGAGCUGCAGCCUGCCAGGAUCAGUGCACCUUCCCAGCUCUCCUUACUGGCACAUUUUUGGAAGGCAGCAGAGCAGGGAGCAGCACCGACCUGCUCAGCCUUUGGGAAGCAAGAGGAGCCAAAGGCCGACCCAAGGGGUACUGCUGUGCUGAAAGGAAGCCCAUCAAAUCGCUAUCCCACACAAAUUCUCUCGGUUGCUCCACAAGUAAUGCCUCCCAUCUGUUUCCAC
ensembl:lncRNA